rnacentral:rRNA from 1 species
GGAUUGAACGCUGGCGGCAUGCCUUACACAUGCAAGUCGAACGGCAGCACGGGAGCAAUCCUGGUGGCGAGUGGCGAACGGGUGAGUAAUACAUCGGAACGUGCCCAAUCGUGGGGGAUAACGCAGCGAAAGCUGUGCUAAUACCGCAUAAGAUCUACGGAUGAAAGCAGGGGAUCGCAAGACCUUGCGCGAAUGGAGCGGCCGAUGGCAGAUUAGGUAGUUGGUGAGGUAAAGGCUCACAAGCCUUCGAUCUGUAGCUGGUCUGAGAGGACGACCAGCCACACUGGGACUGAGACACGGCCCAGACUCCUACGGGAGGCAGCAGUGGGGAAUUUGGACAAUGGGCGAGAGCCUGAUCCAGCCAUGCCGCGUGCAGGAUGAAGGCUUCGGUGUAACUGCUUUGUACGGAACGAAAGUCUACUUUCUAACUAAAGUAGGAUCGAUAGACGGUACCGUAAGAAUAAGACGACCGGACUAACUACGUACG